AAUAUUGCGCAAUGGAGGAAACUCUGACGCAGCGACGCCGCGUGAGCGAUGAAGGUCUUCGGAUCGUAAAGCUCUGUCCUUGGGGAAGAAGGACGUCAUUUAUGACGCCUUGACGGUACCCGAGGAGGAAGCCCCGGCUAACUACGUGCCAGCCGCCGCGGUAAUACGUAGGGGGCGAGCGUUGUCCGGAAUUACUGGGCGUAAAGGGUACGUAGGCGGCUAUAUAAGUCAGGUGUGAAAUACCAGUGCUUAACACUGGAAUUGCAUUUGAAACUGUGUAGCUUGAGUGCAGGAGAGGAAAGUGGAAUUCCUAGUGUAGCGGUGAAAUGCGUAGAGAUUAGGAGGAACACCAGUGGCGAAGGCGACUUUCUGGACUGUAACUGACGCUGAGGUACGAAAGCGUGGGUAGCGAACA
rnacentral:rRNA from 1 species